AACAAGGUGAAGUCCCACAAUAAGCUGUCUGCAAGCUGAGGAGAAAGAAAGUCAGUAAGUCCCCGAAUCUCCAAAGUAGGGAAGUUGACAGUGCAGCCUUUAGUCUGUCGCAAAAGGCCUGAAAGACCCUGGAAAAUCACUGGUGUAAGUUCAAGAGUCAGAAAGCUGAAGAUCUUGGAGUCCGAUAUUUGAGGGCAGGAACCAUCUAGCAUGGGAGAAAGAUGAAGGCCGGAAGACUCUGCAAGUCAGCUCCUUCCACCUUUUCUGCCUGCUUUAUUCUAGCUGUGCUGGCAGCUGAUUAGAUAGUGCCCACCCAGAUUGAGGGUGGGUCUGCCUCUCCCAGUCCACUGACUCAAAUGUUAAUCUCUUUGGCAACGCCCUCACAGAUACACCAGAGUAAGACUUUCCA